rnacentral:rRNA from 1 species
CAGGUCAGGCGGGGCUACCCGCUGAGUUUAAGCAUAUCAAUA